UCAAGGAUAGAUUAUAUAUUCGAAAGCACAUUUUUCGAAGCAAUCUGAAAAUGAUAAUGCGGAUUUCCACUUUUUUUUAACGCAGAAUUUCACAU